UACGUAGGGUGCAAGCGUUGUCCGGAAUUAUUGGGCGUAAAGAGCUCGUAGGCGGUUUGUCGCGUCGAAUGUGAAAACCCGGGGCUCAACCCCGGGCCUGCAUUCGAUACGGGCAGACUAGAGUUCGGUAGGGGAGUCUGGAAUUCCUGGUGUAGCGGUGAAAUGCGCAGAUAUCAGGAGGAACACCGGUGGCGAAGGCGGUUCUCUGGGCAUUACCUGACGCUGAGGAGCGAAAGCAUGGGGAGCGAACAGG
rnacentral:rRNA from 1 species